rnacentral:rRNA from 1 species
UACGAAGGGGGCUAGCGUUGUUCGGAAUUACUGGGCGUAAAGGGCGCGUAGGCGGUGCCUCAAGUCAGGCGUGAAAGCCCCGGGCUCAACCUGGGAAUGGCAUUGGUGACUGCACGGCUAGAGUGUGUCAGAGGGGGGCAGAAUUCCACGUGUAGCAGUGAAAUGCGUAGAGAUGUGGAGGAAUACCGAUGGCGAAGGCAGCCCCCUGGGAUAACACUGACGCUCAUGCACGAAAGCGUGGGGAGCAAACAGG